rnacentral:tRNA from 1 species
GUGGAUGUAGCUCAGUUGGCAGAGCACUUGAUUGUGGUUCAAGAAGUCGCGGGUUCAAAUCCCGUCAUCCACCCCA